rnacentral:rRNA from 1 species
UACGGAGGGGGCUAGCGUUGUUCGGAAUUACUGGGCGUAAAGCGCACGUAGGCGGCUUUGUAAGUAAGAGGUGAAAGCCCAGAGCUCAACUCUGGAGUUGCCUUUUAGACUGCAUCGCUUGAAUCAUGGAGAGGUCAGUGGAAUUCCGAGUGUAGAGGUGAAAUUCGUAGAUAUUCGGAAGAACACCAGUGGCGAAGGCGGCUGACUGGACAUGUAUUGACGCUGAGGUGCGAAAGCGUGGGGAGCAAACAGG